AAAGGUUCAUUAUAUGCAAAGCAGAGGAUCCAUUUGGGCACCAGUUAAUUCUUCCAAGGCAAAAAGUCAACAAAUAUCCUUCAUUGUUCUUAUUUUUCUUCUUCUACCUCUCAAAGGCUCCACUCUGCCUGACUUAUGCCACAGACACCCCUGGUGCUUGCUUGUCUUAAUGUUGGCAAGGAAAUUGCAUGUUUUUACUUCUGGCUGAGUCUGUCUCUCCCUGCUCGAGGUUACUAUCGGGCAAAUCUUCAGAGGGAGUGUAUGGUUCUGCUUUGCAUUACUGAGUGCUGUACUGGAGAAGAUGAUGUCAUUGUAUGCAUUUAACCAUCAUUUACAUCUUCAUUUAGAUUUCCUUUUAACUGCUUUUGGCAAAAUUGUAAUGCAACCUAUUCCUCUCCUCAAAGUUACCUCUGGGUAAUUUUUAUGGGUCUCCCUGGUAUUCUCUGUAUGAAUGAGUCUUGUGUUACACACAAAUCACAUACUGAUACUGCAUGAAUUUAAGUAUGAAAGCAUUACCUCUAAUGCGAUUUUUGAUUUUGGAUCCAGCAUAACUGUUUGAAAGAGACUUAGGAAACCUCUAGACCAACACAAACCGUUGUUUCAGAGCUGGCAAUAAGUGAUGGAAAAACAGUCAGUCAAAUAAAACGAGGCCUCUAUUUGCAAUCUUUUGAGCCAUUAGAGUGAGUAUUGCUUUCCACUGGAACUGACAUUUUGUUGAUACUUCAUCGGACUGGAUGCUCUGAUGGCAAGGAAGAUUAAAACAGAAGAAACGGAGCUCAUGAUUGGAAUGUGUGAGAGGUGCAAACAUUUGAAGUCUUUUUAAGGCUUAAUUUAACAGGAGGAAAGAAUUUUGAUUCAUUCUGCUAUCAAAAUUUGGAGCAGCUUUUUAAGGGUCCAAUCAUGAAACUAGACCCAUGCAAACAGACUCCUAAAUGUAUUGACUAAAAUUUUAGUGUGUGACAAAUGAGGAAUUGGGAGUUAAUUUUUAACCUCGUGUACACUUACAACUUCGUGGUUACACGUUUGCAAUUACUUGAUCUACCAAAUUCUAGGUGAAAACAGCAAUCAACAUGUAUAAAACACUUUCAUAUGAUGCAGGGACUGUCUUUUUGUUCUGUUUGUACAGCGCCUAGCGCAUUGGCAUCCUGGUCCAUGAUUGGGAUUUCUGGGCAUUACUGCAAUUCAAAUAUAUGUUGUAAAAAUCACCAUAACUAAUUUCAAAGUGUUUGAGGUGCUUCAAGAUGGAAAUAUAAACCUAGUGUAAAACAUCACAAAGAGUGCAAAGUUAACAGACAAAAUUAGUGCAAGAUAAUAACAAUGAAACAGUUCUACGAUCCCAUACCUGGAAAACUGCAGUUUGUUUCUAACAAUGGAUUUGUGAGUUACCAGUUCCUGUUAUUGCUCCGAAAGAAUCUUUUGUAGUGUGAUUAAAAACAAUGGAAUGUAUUUCUGCUAUGUGAACAGUGGAUACAGUCUUAAGCCCACAUUUGGCAGUUGUCUUUAAUGGGGUCCUGUGUAGGCACAGUUCUAUUCAGGUUCUCAGACUGCACCCAUCACCAUGACAUUUGAGUAUACUUGAGGACCACAUGGGCUGCCUCUAGUCCGUAAGCGGUA